AAAAAAUUUAAAACGCGAGUGAUAUUGUCAUUGUGGAAAUUGUGGUGAUUUAGUUAACAUACAGAGAGUUCUCUCAAUAAAACACAAUACACGAAGACUGUUUUCGCCUAACAAAAAGAAAAAGAUGGAGAUAUACUGCUUCCGAUGUCAAGAAAAGACGGAGACAUUGAAUGAGAGGUCGAGAAGGCUAACGAACGGAAGAAUUAGUAUUCAGGGGGAUUGUGUAAAAUGUGGUACAAGAAAGUCUACAAUUCUUGGCUAGGCCAUUCGAGAACCAAAUUAUUAUCAAUGAUAAUACUUAAUUGUUAAUCAGCGUCAUGGAAAUGUUUAAAUUAAGUUACAACAUGUACUGAUAAUAAUUUUAAUAAAGAAAUAUUGCGAAAA